rnacentral:rRNA from 1 species
AGAGUUUGAUCAUGGCUCAGAGCGAACGCUGGCGGCAGGCCUAAAACAUGCAAGUCGAACGAUCCUUCGGGAUAGUGGCGGACGGGUGAGUAACACGUGGGAACGUGCCCUUUGGUUCGGAACAACUCAGGGAAACUUGAGCUAAUACCGAAUGUGCCCUACGGGGGAAAGAUUUAUCGCCAUUGGAGCGGCCCGCGUCUGAUUAGCUAGUUGGUGAGGUAAAGGCUCACCAAGGCGACGAUCAGUAGCUGGUCUGAGAGGAUGAUCAGCCACACUGGGACUGAGACACGGCCCAGACUCCUACGGGAGGCAGCAGUUAGGAAUCUUGCGCAAUGGGCGAAAGCCUGACGCAGCCAUGCCGCGUGAAUGAUGAAGGUCUUAGGAUUGUAAAAUUCUUUCAGCAGGGAAGAUAAUGACGGUACCUGCAGAAGAAGCUCCGGCUAACUUCGUGCCAGCAGCCGCGGUAAUACGAAGGGGGCUAGCGUUGCUCGGAAUUACUGGGCGUAAGGGCGCGUAGGCGGAUGACUAAGUCGGGGGUGAAAGCCCGGGGCUCAACCUCGGAACUGCCUUCGAUACUGGUCAUCUUGAGUACGGGAGAGGUGUGUGGAACUCCGAGUGUAGAGGUGAAAUUCGUAGAUAUUCGGAAGAACACCAGUGGCGAAGGCGACACCUGGCCCGUUACUGACGCUGAGGCGCGAAAGCGUGGGGAGCAAACAGGAUUAGAUACCCUAGUAGUCC